rnacentral:SRP_RNA from 1 species
AACCGGGUACGAUUCAAAGGGCAGUCGCUCAACCCCGCCAGGCCCGGAAGGGAGCAACGGCAAGCGUUCUGUUUUUGUGAAUUUGCUAUCCGGUUGGA